AACGCAAAUUGCGCUCUUGGGUAGCCCUAGGAGCACGCCUCUCUCAGUAUCGGUUCAACAACCUCUCAGCAGCGUGUACAAAAAGAAGCAAUUCUUGGCGAUACAUGUGUGGCUGGAAAAUGAGAGUCUGACUCACCUCAGUCUCUUGAAAUUCAUGGAGUAAGCAUGACUAACGAUCAUCUCUGCGCAAGCAGAUAGUCAGUUGUAGACUGGCGUUCGAUAGUGACGUGAAUAAUGGCCUUCUGGUCAACCUUUACGUGUGUCUAUCAAACGCUAACAAAGUCCGCGAUCGGCGAACGUUCGAAUAGGGUGUGUUUGCGUGAGAAAACCAUACGAUUGUAAUACUAUUCAUUUAGUGUAUAAUCUGAAUUUUGAUCUGAGAUGAAGCGAGACAACCCCCUGAAUUUAA
rnacentral:misc_RNA from 1 species